rnacentral:rRNA from 1 species
ACGGAGGGGGCUAGCGUUGUUCGGAAUUACUGGGCGUAAAGCGCACGUAGGCGGCUUUGUAAGUCAGGGGUGAAAUCCCGGGGCUCAACCCCGGAACUGCCCUUGAGACUGCAAGGCUCGAAUCCAGGAGAGGUGAGUGGAAUUCCGAGUGUAGAGGUGAAAUUCGUAGAUAUUCGGAAGAACACCAGUGGCGAAGGCGGCUCACUGGACUGGUAUUGACGCUGAGGUGCGAAAGCGUGGGGAGCAAACAGGA